UCAGGUCCUUGAUUUGCUGCAUUGGGUCCUCAGGUAAUAUUGUUAGUCCCUUAUCUAUUUGACUCUGCUUAUUAUGUUUGAUAUUCCCUCCAUCAUGUACACUUCUCUUUUUCUCAGAUAUUUCAUCAUGAUACUUCACAAUCUCUUCAUGUUCUUUAGCAGGUAUUCCUUUAAUGGACAGAACCUCAACCAACUUUUGUUGUUUAUCAACCCUCCCCACCCCCUACCCCCC
rnacentral:lncRNA from 1 species